rnacentral:rRNA from 1 species
UACGUAGGGUGCAAGCGUUGUCCGGAAUUAUUGGGCGUAAAGAGCUCGUAGGCGGUUUGUCACGUCUGCUGUGAAAACUGGAGGCUCAACCUCCAGCCUGCAGUGGGUACGGGCAGACUAGAGUGCGGUCGGGGAGAUUGGAAUUCCUGGUGUAGCGGUGGAAUGCGCAGAUAUCAGGAGGAACACCGAUGGCGAAGGCAGAUCUCUGGGCCGUAACUGACGCUGAGGAGCGAAAGCCAGGGGAGCAAACGGG